UACGGGGGGGGCAAGCGUUGUUCGGAAUUACUGGGCGUAAAGGGCUCGUAGGCGGCCAACUAAGUCGGACGUGAAAUCCCUCGGCUUAACCGGGGAACUGCGUCCGAUACUGGAUGGCUGGAGGUUGGGAGAGGGAUGCGGAAUUCCAGGUGUAGCGGUGAAAUGCGUAGAUAUCUGGAGGAACACCGGUGGCGAAGGCGGCAUCCUGGACCAUUACUGACACUGAGGCACGAAAGCUGGGGGAGCAAACAGG
rnacentral:rRNA from 1 species